AUGAGUAGACAGUACGAUGGUGGCGACCGGCGCACGGGUGAGUAACACGUAUGCAACCUACCUUUAACAGGGGAAUAACCCGUUGAAAAACGGACUAAUACUCCAUAACACAGGGGUCCCGCAUGGGAAUAUUUGUUAAAGAUUAAUCGGUUGAAGAUGGGCAUGCGUUCCAUUAGCUUGUUGGUGAGGUAACGGCUCACCAAGGCCACGAUGGAUAGGGGAACUGAGAGGUUUAUCCCCACACUGGAACUGAGACACGGUCCAGACUCCUACGGGAGGCAGCAGUGAGGAAUAUUGGUCAAUGGAGGCAACUCUGAACCAGCCAAGUCGCGUGAAGGAAUGAAGGUCUUAUGGAUUGUAAACUUCUUUUGCAAGGGAAUAAAGUGGGGGACGUGUCCUCCUUUGCAUGUACCUUGCGAAUAAGGAUCGGCUAACUCCGUGCCAGCAGCUGC
rnacentral:rRNA from 1 species